rfam:Oryza brachyantha chromosome 3, whole genome shotgun sequence.
AAUAAGAUCGUUUUUCGUUUUUCCGUGACCAACGUUUGAUCAUUUGUCUUAUUUAAAAAAUUUGUAUAAAUAUUUAAAAAAAUCAGUCACGCAUAAAGUACUAUUUAUGUUUUAUCAUCUGGUAAGAAAAAAAUUAAUCGCAAAAUUUUUUCAAAUAAGACAAAUGGUCAAACGUUGGAUACGAAAAAACA